AUUGAACGCUGGCGGCAGGCCUAACACAUGCAAGUCGAACGGUAACAGGAAGCAGCUUGCUGCUUCGCUGACGAGUGGCGGACGGGUGAGUAAUGUCUGGGAAACUGCCUGAUGGAGGGGGAUAACUACUGGAAACGGUAGCUAAUACCGCAUAACGUCGCAAGACCAAAGAGGGGGACCUUAGGGCCUCUUGCCAUCGGAUGUGCCCAGAUGGGAUUAGCUAGUAGGUGGGGUAACGGCUCACCUAGGCGACGAUCCCUAGCUGGUCUGAGAGGAUGACCAGCCACACUGGAACUGAGACACGGUCCAGACUCCUACGGGAGGCAGCAGUGGGGAAUAUUGCACAAUGGGCGCAAGCCUGAUGCAGCCAUGCCGCGUGUAUGAAGAAGGCCUUCGGGUUGUAAAGUACUUUCAGCGGGGAGGAAGGGAGUAAAGUUAAUACCUUUGCUAAUUGACGUUAUCCGCAGAAGAAGCACCGGCUAACUCCGUG
rnacentral:rRNA from 1 species